UGGCCACAGGGAUGGCAGCGCCGCUGGCAGGGAGCUGUGCCGCAGGGGCCCUGACAGGCUCUGUGUUCCCAGGGAUGGCCGGGCGGCUCCUGAGGGGACAGAAAGAAGAGCUGCAGCUAAUUUACAAAUCCCUUAAGAAUGUGGUUUGUGACACCAGCCCUGCCAUCGGAAACCUGGCAAUUCAAACAUUUUACAUCAUCCAGGCAGUAGAGACGGCUCGAUAUUCCAUCUUUGAGAACCUGCAAGUUCAGCUGCGCAGGGCAUGGAGGACACGGCCUUGUCUGUUGGGCCUCAGCUGGCUGCGCUGCUGGAGCUCUGCUGGGAACUGACCCGGCAGGCUCUAUCUGCUGGGGCCACCUGAACCAGCAGGGAUUUUUGUUCCUUAAACAUUGUUCUUUUCUUCUUUUCAUUUUCCUUUAGUAUAUAAAUAUAGUAUAUGUUAUAAUAGGCAGUCACUUC